UGAGAUUUGACACGUCUUCAGAUAAUAUAAUGAAGUCCAGCUGCCGUCCUUUCAAGCUCCUAAGACUACCAUGACCUGGAUGACUGAGAACUUACAAACCUACAUCCAAGACAAGAUCUCCAAUGAAAGCAGAGCAGCAGAAAGACGUGCUGAGUGUAAAGCUGUCAGCAGGGGGAAUAACACAGGGCUGUGAAUGAGUCCUGUCACUGUGAUCAGGCUCCUCCUUCUAAUCCACCAACUUAGUGUUGAUGAAGACUAAACAGAGAGAUCACAGCUUCUUUAUACUUGCUGUAGCUCACAGUUACUCUACACUGCAGAUAUGACGCCUCUGUUCAUCUCAGUGCUGCUGGCUGCUAUGUGCCUCGAAUGCAGAGCACAAAAAGACAACGUGCUGCAAGCAAAAGGAGAAGAGACUGCUGCUGAAGGAGGCACAGUAACACUUCACUGUCUCUAUAACAGCAGUUUCCCAUCAGGUAAUUAUCUCUUCUGGUACAAACAGGAUGGAAACAACAGCCCCAAAUUCAUCCUGAGUCGUGUUAGUGGGGACCAAGGAAACACAGCAGACGAGUUCAAGGAGAGAUUUUCAUCCACACUGGAUUCCAGCAUCAGAUCAGUUCCUCUGAAGAUCCAGAAGCUUCAGCUGUCUGACUCUGCUGUGUACUACUGUGCUCUGCAGCCCACAGUGACAGGAAACACCAAAACUCUGUACAAAAACCUUUGGAGCAAAGACAACAGAAUACUCCACAACAUCCACUAGAGGGAGCCAC